UCAUGCGUCGGCCGCCUUUAUAGCUGAGACGCGCCGGGACCUCGGGGCUGCCUUCGGGCGGGACCCGCCAAUCAGGAGUGGGAGCGGGCGCCGGGGCGGGGCUUCGCCCGCCGGGCUCGCGGGGGUCCACGAGGCGGCCCGCGCGGCCCUACCCGGCCCGCCAGCGGCCCCACGGCGGCUUUAGGGUCUGCCCCGGCCGCCCGCCCCUGCCGCCCGCCGGGCGAAGACACGAGAAGGGAAGGUCCGGAGGGUGAGGAUGCUCAGCUCCCCCCGCACGGCCGCCUCCAGGGACCGUCGGGGAGGCGGGCGGAGAGGCCACCUACCGGCGCCCUGCUCGGGGCGGGGACCCUGCUGCCCCCCACGCGUGGGAGUCUGAUGGAGAAGCGCCGCCCUGCGGGAGCGGAGCCGAGAGGAGGGCUGGCGGGCGGCAGGUGCCGGGGAAGCGACCAGUGAGUGUCAGCGGGGAACGGGUUAACGUCGUCUGCCCGUAUUGAGCUGAUGAGAAGCUGCGACGGAGCGGCAGGGCGGCUAAAUCCACCGCCCUGUGCCUACACUUGACGGCGGGAGCACGUCUGCCAUCCAGUAUCGAUCGAGGCUGCGCGCGUCUGUGAUACUAUGAGAAUUCAUCUGGGAAGAAGGGCUCUCAGUGCGGGAGACGGAGCGUGCCUGGCAAGCCUCUGGAGCUCAGGACGCCUGCAGGUUUCCGGGCCCUGAUAACUCAGAUGGCUGUGUUGGAGUAAACCUCUGGAGCUGCGGAGAUGUGGAGAAGAAGACACCUCAGCUAUAUUUUGGUUGGUGUUCGCAUGGGACCUUACAUAGAGAGAAUUUGAAUAUUGGCCUGGCUGCUGUUGUCAAAUGGAGUUGCCUGUCAUUAAUAAGACCUGUACCUGCCUUGGUACAUUGUAACUACAGUGCUGACAUGUCAGGAGGGUUAUGCUUUCCAAGAAAGCCGAUUUCCCCAGAGGCUUAUUUGUGGUUGAUAUUUUGCUGGGGAGGGGAGGUUGUUAAGAGAGGGCAGAAAUGCAAAGAAGACUAAACCAAGAAAACUUUCACAUUUUCAACUAUGAUUCCUCAUCAGGACCGCAGUACACAGAAAAUUACUUGACUAUUUUCUCAAUUGUCCCAAGGAUGGUACAUAACUAGUGCCAUUCUAGAUGCAAGGAGAAAAGUUAAUUUGUUACAUACAAUGGAUGCCUUAGGGCAUUAGGGCUUAAUUCUCCACUAAAUCAGUUGAGAAAGACUCGCAGCCAUAUUUAAGUAUAAUUCUUUAAAUAGUACAUUGUAACUUCAAAAUAAAGUUGAAGCUCAGAUGUAAGUAGCUUUAAUCAUUUCGAUCUAUUACGAAUAAAGAGAUUGAUUCGCUCCCCAAAAGGUUAAUUGUAAUUAAUCCUUUGAAACUAGUUUAACAAUGAAAGCAGCAUUGUUACCUCAGAU
rnacentral:lncRNA from 1 species